GACGUAGGUGGCGAACGUUAUCCGGAAUUAUUGGGCGUAAAGGGUGCGUAGGCGGCAUGAUAAGUUAUUGGCGGCAAAUCGAGGCUCAACCUCGUGGAAACUGAUAAUACUGUCUUGCUUGAGUGCAGAAGAGGUUAACGGAACUCCAUGUGGAGCGGUAAAAUGUGUAGAUAUAUGGAAGAACAUCAAUAACGGCGAAGGCAGUUAACUAUUCUAGUUACUGACGUUGAGG
rnacentral:rRNA from 1 species